rnacentral:rRNA from 1 species
GUGCCAGCCGCCGCGGUAAUACGAAGGGGGCUAGCGUUGCUCGGAAUUACUGGGCGUAAAGGGCGCGUAGGCGGAUCGUUAAGUCAGAGGUGAAAUCCCAGGGCUCAACCCUGGAACUGCCUUUGAUACUGGCGAUCUUGAGUAUGAGAGAGGUAUGUGGAACUCCGAGUGUAGAGGUGAAAUUCGUAGAUAUUCGGAAGAACACCAGUGGCGAAGGCGACAUACUGGCUCAUUACUGACGCUGAGGCGCGAAAGCGUGGGGAGCAAACAGGAUUAGAUACCCUGGUAGUCCACGCCGUAAACGAUGAUUGCUAGUUGUCGGGCUGCAUGCAGUUCGGUGACGCAGCUAACGCAUUAAGCAAUCCGCCUGGGGAGUACGGUCGCAAGAUUAAA